rnacentral:rRNA from 1 species
UGGGGAAUAUUGGACAAUGGGGGAAACCCUGAUCCAGCAAUGCCGCGUGAGUGAAGAAGGCCUUAGGGUUGUAAAGCUCUUUCGCCCGCGAAGAUAAUGACGGUAGCGGGAGAAGAAGCCCCGGCUAACUCCGUGCCAGCAGCCGCGGUAAUACGGAGGGGGCUAGCGUUGUUCGGAAUUACUGGGCGUAAAGCGUGCGUAGGUGGUUGUUUAAGUCUGAUGUGAAAGCCCUGGGCUCAACCUGGGAAUGGCAUUGGAAACUGGGCAGCUAGAGUGUGGUAGAGGGUAGUGGAAUUCCCGGUGUAGCAGUGAAAUGCGUAGAGAUCGGGAGGAACAUCUGUGGCGAAGGCGACUGCCUGGACCAGCACUGACACUGAGGCACGAAAGCGUGGGGAGCAAACA